GAUCAUGGCUCAGGAUGAACGCUAGCUACAGGCUUAACACAUGCAAGUCGAGGGGCAGCGGGAUUGAAGCUUGCUUCAAUUGCCGGCGACCGGCGCACGGGUGAGUAACGCGUAUCCAACCUUCCGUACACUCAGGGAUAGCCUUUCGAAAGAAAGAUUAAUACCUGAUGGCGUGAUGAGAUUGCAUGAUAGCAUCAUUAAAGAUUUAUUGGUGUACGAUGGGGA
rnacentral:rRNA from 1 species